GUAGCCAUAGACUGUAUAUAUAGACCUGGACAGUGUGUCGUCCGUUGGAAUUGAAGCAACCGCUAGUCCAGAGCCCCCUGGUGGCUGGCUGCAGUACAAUUCGUAGCUCCGCCCAUCCCCAUGUAUUUCAAUGGCCAAGUAGCCAACUUUCCGUGUCACUUUUCUCACCUAAAACUAAUUUUAUAUUUACAACAUGUUAUUCGAAAAAAUAGUUUUCAAUGUGCUUCAAUACACACCAUUUUUCUUUUCUCUGUGAAAUUAUUUUUUUUUAAGUUAUUUUAACAAAUCUAAAAAUUGCGUUGAUUGACAGUGCGUGACCGCAGCGUCAGCCGCUUGCAGCCGUUCAGUCCGUGGAGUAGCUGUAGGCUCGGCUGUGGUGGUGUUCGUUCGUCAGGCAACUUAUCAUAUUUGUUUUAUUUGCUGUUAUUACACUUUAUACAUUGACAGUCAUGUCGUGCUGUGCUGUUGGUUGUACUAACGGGCCAUCCCAGAGAAGCUCUGUGCAGUUUUUUUUCGUUUUCCUUUAGGUGUGCAGCAUGCAGACAGACUGGCUGGUGAACAUAAGACGACAAGACUGGGAGCCCAGCAAGUCAUCUCAUCUCUGUAGUCUUCAUUUUGAAGACCAUGAAUUCACCAUUGAUACCUAUGGGAAUCGUCUGACUUGCACUGCAGUACCAACUGUGUUCUCCCUUCCUGACCACCUGGUGAAGAGACCUGCUAGUAGAAAGGCA